AUGGCCUGGAUGGUGCUUCUUCUCGAGCUCCUUGCUUAUGGCUCAGGAGUUUAUUCUCAGAUUGUGGUGACCCAGGAGCCAUCCCUGUCAGUGUCUACGGGAGGGACAGUCACACUCACUUGUGGCCUCAGCUCUGGGUCAGUCACUACAAGUAAUUACCCCAGCUGGUCUCAGCAGACUCCAGGGCGGGCUCCUUGCACGAUUAUCUAUGACACAAACAGCCGCCCCUCUGUGGUCCUUGAUCGCUUCUCUGGAUCCAUCUCUGGGAACAAAGCCGCCCUCACCAUCACAGGAGCCCAGCCUGAGGACGAGGCUGACUAA